CAGCCGCCGCGGUAAUACGUAGGGUGCGAGCGUUAAUCGGAAUUACUGGGCGUAAAGCGUGCGCAGGCGGUUAUGUAAGACAGUUGUGAAAUCCCCGGGCUCAACCUGGGAACUGCAUCUGUGACUGCAUAGCUAGAGUACGGUAGAGGGGGAUGGAAUUCCGCGUGUAGCAGUGAAAUGCGUAGAUAUGCGGAGGAACACCGAUGGCGAAGGCAAUCCCCUGGACCUGUACUGACGCUCAUGCACGAAAGCGUGGGGAGCAAACAGGAUUAGAUACCCCUGUAGUCCCUGUCUCUUAUAC
rnacentral:rRNA from 1 species